UCCCCACCGAGGGCAGACACACCUCCCCCGAGCACCAAGCAGGGGAGAACCUGCUCGCGCCAGAAAGGGCCUUGGAAACUGACCUACGCGGUCACCCGGGCUUCCAGAGCACCCGGGGUGGUGGCCACGACCGCAGGUUUCCCGUCUGCCCGCCCCACGUCGAUGAAACGGCCGUCACCGACUGACUCUGGCUGGCACGCCCAGAGCACUCGCGACCCCGGGGAAAGACACGGUUCGGCGCCGGGAACGGCGCGGUGGGCAAGUCAGUAGCGCACCAGUCCGCGGGGAAGAGCCGCCGCACAAGCAUGCUCGAGUCCGGCUUAUUUGCACCGCCCCUGCUCAGCGCCACAGCCACCGCGGCACGCCCCGCCCCCGGCCCGCCACGCUCCAUUCCUGCCUGGAUCACCUACCACGCCGGCUCCAGGCUUUGGCAGGAGGAGCUAAGCCUCCGCGAUCCUCCCACCACACGCCGACCAGAAAGAAGCGGUGGAUGGUACCUCGCGGACUCAGAGGAGCUGUGGCGGGGGAAGAAGCUCCCCAAGGCAAAGAGUAGAAAUGGAAGCUCUGGAUGGAAAAGGGAUUUGGGAGUAACUGCCAUUCCCGUGUCUGCCUGACCUAAUUGAAAAGCUAACGAGGUAACUUUAGACUGCGAUGCGCUUCAUCAGAAUUGCCCGUUGCCUGGUUCAGACUGGAUCCACCUAGGAUGCUUUUGUUUGCUUGUUCCAGGAGCCUUGGGAGCCCACAGCUCUCUGCCACUAUUCCUCUCCUCACAUCCCAACCAUUCCCUCCAGAAUAUGAUUCCCUCCAGAUUACAGUACCGGAUGUUUGUGUCCCUGCAGUUUUGUCUUAAGCCUGAAACACCCCAGAAUGCAUUUCGUGUGUUGAACGUUUUAUAAACACUCUCUUGAUGCCAGUGUGACUUUGAAGUGCUGCAGGAGCACACUAAAGGCUUGUUAAGUCUUAUUAAAAGGAGGAUUUUAUGGACUGAGACUUUGGGGAGAGCUUUGGGUAGUUAUUGCCUGGAAUGCUGAAAAGUAGGUCAGAUGUCAUCAGGCAAAUCCAGACAAAUU
rnacentral:lncRNA from 1 species